AUGGACGAUUUUCUUUUACAUCCUAGGAGCGUCUAUAUCCUGGUAGUUACAGUUCAAUUACUUGUCCUUUUGUCCCAGGAAGACAGAAAUGAGGCUCCUUUAGGCUUCCCUGCUCCCUUCGGUCACUCCCUUGAUUCUAGUUUCUGGUCCAAGGAGCUUGUCUCAGGCUCUGCCCUUUGCAAGAUUGCAGUGACUGGCAAAAAGAAUGACCUCAUCUCUUUGGCUCAAGUUGUCAGCUUGCCUAAUCUCUGGAAUCUUCUGUGGCUCAGGCAAGACCAGUGGCUUAUUCCUCUUUUGCAUGUGGAGUGCUCACGCAGCACAGGGACAUACCAGGUUCUCAAAGGCUGAAUGAAAGCCAGAAUAUACAUCUCUGCACAGUGCCAGGACUCUUGGUCCAGGCUAGCAGCCUGCACUAGGCACUACGUGAGGCCCUUGAGGUAAGUAUUUGAAAGUUUGGGAGAAGGAAGACCUUUGGAAGAACCAAAGGCAGACCUGGG
rnacentral:lncRNA from 1 species